CCUACGGGAGGCAGCAGUGAGGAAUAUUGGUCAAUGGACGCAAGUCUGAACCAGCCAUGCCGCGUGCAGGAUGACGGCUCUAUGAGUUGUAAACUUCUUUUGUACGAGGGUAAACCCCGAUACGUGUAUCGUGUUGAAAGUAUCGUACGAAUAAGGAUCGGCUAACUCCGUGCCAGCAGCCGCGGUAAUACGGAGGAUCCGAGCGUUAUCCGGAUUUAUUGGGUUUAAAGGGUGCGUAGGCGGUUUGAUAAGUUAGAGGUGAAAUGUCGGGGCUCAACCCCGAAACUGCCUCUAAUACUGUUGGACUAGAGAAUAGUUGCGGUAGGCGGAAUGUAUGGUGUAGCGGUGAAAUGCUUAGAGAUCAUACAGAACACCGAUUGCGAAGGCAGCUUACCAGACUAUAUCUGACGUUGAGGCACGAAAGCGUGGGUAGCAAACAGGAUUAGAUACCCGAGUAGUC
rnacentral:rRNA from 1 species